rnacentral:rRNA from 1 species
CCUACGGGUGGCAGCAGUGGGGAAUAUUGCACAAUGGGGGAAACCCUGAUGCAGCGACGCCGCGUGCGUGAAGAAGUAAUUCGUUAUGUAAAGCUCUAUCAGCAGGGAAGAAAAUGACGGUAACUGAGUAAGAAGCACCGGCCAACUCCGUGCCAGCAGCCGCGGGAAUACGUAGGGCGGAAGCGUUCUCCCGAUUUACUGGGGGUAAAGGGAGCGUAGACGGCAGUGCAAGGCUGGAGUGAAAGGCGGGGGGUCAACCCCCGGACUGCUCUGGAAACUGUACGGCUGGAGUGCAGGAGAGGUAAGUGGAAUUCCUAGUGGAGCGGUGAAAUGCGUAGAUAUUAGGAGGAACACCAGUGGCGAAGGCGGCUUACUGGACUGUAACUGACGUUGAGGCACGAAAGCGUGGGGAGCAAACAGGAUUAGAUACCCCAGUAGUC